GUCUUGAUGCUGCAUCAUAAUCGGGAAGAGUACAUCCCACAGGAAGAGAGCAAGAGGAAGCUGAGGAAGCCAAACCAGCUUUGUAAGAACCCACUCCCUCCAUCACUUACCUAUUCCCAUGAUAACUAACCCACCCAGGCCAUCAUUAACCUGCCCCGCUAGAACCAACCCACUCCCAGGACAAUGGCCUCAAACCAUUUAUGAAGAUGGAGUCCUCAUGACCUCAUCAUCACCUAAAGGUGUCACAAUGGCAGAUAAAUUUCACCGUGAGCUUUGGGGACAACUUUCACCCCCCGGCAGGAUUGAGGGCCAGAUGGGAUCCUCUCCGGCCAUGCACGCAGGAGCCACAUCAGGAGGAUCUGCCCAAAUUCAAGAUCUUCGCUGGAUCUCUUUUUAUGCCUGAGAAACACUGUGGGUCAGAAGCAGCUGAGUGUCAAAUAGAGAGCCGGUUUUAUCCCAAAGGUGGAAGGAAGAAGUUGAAACCCCAUCAGCCAGACUGACAACUUGAGAGAGAAACUACUGAGAUCAAAACAGCACUUGAAUAGUUAUGUUGAAUGGGGGUGACUCUGAAAUUCCCUGUGAUUUUUGAAUCAGAAGCAUCAGAAAUAAUACAAAUAGAGGAACAUUUUCUGCUUUAAGAUAACUCAGUGGUAAGAGGGAUGCCAACAGAUAAGCCAGUUAUAUCUAGAAUUAUAAACCAUCAUUUUGUAAUACACGAAGGUUCCUCAUGUGGUGUUAAAUACAAAUUUGGGGAUAAAUGAGCACGUGUUGAUACAGUUACUAAGUUCUCUUGGUGUCCACAUAAUCAUGAAGGUGAUAAGCAUGACUUUAUAUUUCAGAGUCCAUUUUUAAUUACCUCCUUUGCCAUUGGUGACCUCUUUCCUGCUUAGAUAUAUGCUUAGCCUCCCACCUUCUGUUUUCCCCAUCCUUUCCACCACAACCUAUUCAGUGAACAAUGUGUUACUCUUUCUUCGGUAUGUUUACAAUGCCAUUUGCUGCACGGUUAUCUCAGUGAAGUGAACAAUUUUCUCCCCACGGGAGUAGCAAGGGAAGAGCUCUUGCACUGAGUCACCCUGGCCUAGGUUAGAAGAGGGAUUAGUAUUUGUGAGGAGUCUAAAAAUUGUAAAGCAAACUGAAGACCAAUCACAUGUAGGCAAUUUUAAGCAGGAUCAGUG
rnacentral:lncRNA from 1 species